CUUGGUGAUUUGAGCGUCGAGGGUACACCCGGUCCCAUCUCGAACCCGGAAGUUAAGCUCGACAGCGCCGAUGGUACUUGGCGGGAGACCGCCCGGGAGAGUAAGUCGUUGCCAAGG
rnacentral:rRNA from 1 species